AAGUCGUAACAAGGUUUCCGUAGGUGAACCUGCGGAAGGAUCAUUUCCAAAAAAAAAACAAACAAUAUAAACCAACCUUUGUGAAGAGUUUUAUAUUCUUUUUUUUUACUUUGGGUGUGGGGAAAAAGUGUGCUUUGGGUGUUGAAGAAAAUGCGAAACACCUUUAUCGUAGGCGUUUAACAUCAAAAUCACAUCAGAAAGUACAUGUACAUUACCCCGCCCAAAGGCCAUGAUGAACUACCUCUUUGAGGUUGAUGUCCUCUUUAUAUUUUUCAAUCAUACGAAAGUAUAUAACAAAUGACAUGACAACUUUUAACGGUGGAUCUCUUGGCUCGU
rnacentral:misc_RNA from 1 species